AAGAAGGGAUAAGAAUCAAUAAGUACUGCUAAUCCUUAAACCCCGAGGUUAAAAUCCCCGGCCUUCUUA
rnacentral:tRNA from 1 species